rnacentral:rRNA from 1 species
GACGAACGCUGGCGGCGUGCUUAACACAUGCAAGUCGAACGGAAAGGCCCUGCUUUUGUGGGGUGCUCGAGUGGCGAACGGGUGAGUAACACGUGAGUAACCUGCCCUUGACUUUGGGAUAACUUCAGGAAACUGGGGCUAAUACCGGAUAGGAGCUCCUGCUGCAUGGUGGGGGUUGGAAAGUUUCGGCGGUUGGGGAUGGACUCGCGGCUUAUCAGCUUGUUGGUGGGGUAGUGGCUUACCAAGGCUUUGACGGGUAACCGGCCUGAGAGGGUGACCGGCCACAUUGGGACUGAGAUACGGCCCAGACUCCUACGGGAGGCAGCAGUGGGGAAUAUUGCACAAUGGGCGGAAGCCUGAUGCAGCAACGCCGCGUGCGGGAUGACGGCCUUCGGGUUGUAAACCGCUUUCGCCUGUGACGAAGCGUGAGUGACGGUAAUAGGUAAAGAAGCACCGGCUAACUACGUGCCAGCAGCCGCGGUGAUACGUAGGGUGCGAGCGUUGUCCGGAUUUAUUGGGCGUAAAGGGCUCGUAGGUGGUUGAUCGCGUCGGAAGUGUAAUCUUGGGGCUUAACCCUGAGCGUGCUUUCGAUACGGGUUGACUUGAGGAAGGUAGGGGAGAAUGGAAUUCCUGGUGGAGCGGUGGAAUGCGCAGAUAUCAGGAGGAACACCAGUGGCGAAGGCGGUUCUCUGGGCCUUUCCUGACGCUGAGGAGCGAAAGCGUGGGGAGCGAACAGGCUUAGAUACCCUGGUAGUCCACGCUGUAAACGGUGGGUACUAGGUGUGGGGUCCAUUCCACGGGUUCCGUGCCGUAGCUAACGCUUUAAGUACCCCGCCUGGGGAGUACGGCCGCAAGGCUAAAACUCAAAGGAAUUGACGGGGCCCCGCACAAGCGGCGGAGCAUGCGGAUUAAUUCGAUGCAACGCGUAGAACCUUACCUGGGUUUGACAUGGAUCGGGAGUGCUCAGAGAUGGGUGUGCCUCUUUUGGGGUCGGUUCACAGGUGGUGCAUGGCUGUCGUCAGCUCGUGUCGUGAGAUGUUGGGUUAAGUCCCGCAACGAGCGCAACCCUUGUUCACUGUUGCCAGCACGUUAUGGUGGGGACUCAGUGGAGACCGCCGGGGUCAACUCGGAGGAAGGUGGGGAUGACGUCAAGUCAUCAUGCCCCUUAUGUCCAGGGCUUCACGCAUGCUACAAUGGCUGGUACAGAGAGUGGCGAGCCUGUGAGGGUGAGCGAAUCUCGGAAAGCCGGUCUCAGUUCGGAUUGGGGUCUGCAACUCGACCUCAUGAAGUCGGAGUCGCUAGUAAUCGCAGAUCAGCAACGCUGCGGUGAAUACGUUCCCGGGGCU